UAGGGACCAGGAUUAGAUACCCUGUUACUUACAAGUAAAAAUUUCUGGAACAGUAAUAGUAAUGAAAUUUAACGGAUUUGGCGGCAAGAUAGCCAUUUAGAGGAACCUGCCCUAUAAUCGAUGAACCACGAAUUACCCUACUUUUUCUUGAAUUCAGUUUGUAUACCGCUGUUGUCAGUUAGUUUCAUCAGAAAACUUUCAUAAAUGAAAAAUUCAACGACUUCAAGUAAAGGUGCAGCUUAUGAAAAAGAUAGAGGUGGGUUACAUUUAUAAGAAUAAAACGGAUAAAGUUUUUGAAAUUAACUUUUGAAGGUGGAUUUAAUUGUAAAGUUUUAUUAAACUUGAUGAGAGCUC
rnacentral:rRNA from 1 species